AGUAUGCUCUCAAACAUGUUUCAAUCCCAGCUGACAGAAAAAUCUCAGAAAUAAAUCCAAUGCACAGCUGAAAAUACUUUGGGCAUGUCUCCAAGGCUUCUCUAACUUUCUGAGGCUGCCAGUUCUCACAAGCUAAGCAGGUUGAGCUGCUCAUCAUUUGGAUGGAAGACCUCCAAGGAACAUCUAGACACUUUAAGAAAUGGUGUUGAUUAUUUACAUAUUUGUCCUGUGACUGCACACUGAUCACACUUCAUAAUUUGGAAGCAGUAAAACAAAGGAGAUUCAUUUGCAUUUGGAUGAUUUGCUGAUAUAUGGAUUUCACUUAAAUGGCUGCACAUGUCAGAAAUCAGAAUAUAUUGUCAUACAAGACCAAAUCAAGCUUUUCACUGCCACUUACUUUAUUAUCCCAAAAGGAAUUUGUUUAAUUAAAACUUACUUGCUCAUUGAAGUUCUGAAUUUUCCAAAGGAAAAUUUAAAAUUUUACAGCGAUUUAAUCUUUCAUGACAGGGCACAUAGCUCUAGUAUAUUCUGAAACUCAAACCUUUCCAAGGUAUCUAUCUUUGUGCUUUUAAUACAAAUUUUCAUGUAGUGAAAGCACUGAAAUUAAAGUCACUAUAAAAAUUUUAAAAAAAAUUUCUUGUGAUCCAAAUUUGAGAGUUGUUAUAGAAAAAAAAAUCUCCUUAUUUAUUUAUUUAUUUAUAUUGUAGUAGUACCAGGAAAGUCGGGGCCUCAUUUUCUUGGACACUUUACAGACAUACAAAGAAUGUGAGUUCCUGUCCUGACAAUCUAAAAGAUAUGCACCUGGAUGAGACAAUCAAAUGGGAGAGAUGUGGAUAACAAAUAACAGGAUGUGUGCAAUUCUUAGCCCAUCAUGAGCAGUGUUCACAGAUCACCAAUAUUUCCAAAUGUACUAGAGACAGACUAGGUAUUUUCAGAGUGCAGUGAGGAGCAUACCCAUUUUGCUGUCACGUUACGUGCACAGGUUGCACUGGUAAAAUGCUUACUGGAACGAGCACAGCAACAAAACAAGUAUGAUUUUUUAAAAAAAACAGAGGCAGAGACAGCCUAUUAGUGGUGCUUUGUCAUAUAUGGAAUCAGAGUUCAAAGUUCAACUCUAAUUUUGUCCCUACACAAGUAUGUAGGGACAAAAUUAGAAAGGCACAAAACAAGAUCAAACUAGCUAGGGACAUAAAGAGUAACAAGAAAACAUUCUACAAAUACAUUAGAAGCAAGAGGAAGACCAAGCCUGUUACUCAAUGAGGGGGGAAAGACAAUAACAGAAAAUGUGGAAAUGGCAGAGGUGCUUAAUGACUUCUUUGUUUUGGUUUUCACCAAGAAGGUUGGUGGCGAUUGGAAGUCUAAGGCUAGGUCUACACUACCGCCUGAAUCGGCGGGUAGAAAUCGACCUCUCGGGGAUCGAUUUAUCGCGUCCCGUUGGGACGCGACAAUCGAUCCCUUAAUCGACGCUCUUACUCCACCAGCGGAGGUGGGAGUAAGCGCCGUCGACAGGAAGCCAUGGAGGUCAAUUUUGCCGCGGUCCUCACAGCGGGGUAAGUCGGCUGCGAUACGUCGAAUUCAGCUACGCUAUUCACGUAGCUGAAUUUGCGUAUCUUAAAUCAACUCCCCCCUGUAGUGUAGAUGUAGCCUAACAUAGUGAAUGCCAGUGAAAAUGAGGUAGGAUCAGAGUCCAAAAUAGGGAAAUAAGUCAAAAAUUACUUAGGCCUGGUCUACACUAGGCGUUUAUGUCGAAGUUAGCGCCGUUACAUCGAAUUAACCCUGCACCCGUCCACACCGCGAAGGUAUUUAGUUCGACAUAGAGGUCUCUUUAAUUCGACUUCUGUACUCCUCCCCGACGAGGGGAGUAGCGCUAAAUUCGACAUGGCCAUGUCGAAUUAGGCUAGGUGUGGAUGGAAAUCGACGCUAAUAGCUCCGGGAGCUAUCCCACAGUGCACCACUCUGUUGACGCUCUGGA